UAAAUCACAAUUGGCAUUAUUACGUACAUAGGCUCUUUUCUAGAAACAUCGUUGAUGUGACGUCACGAAGUGGAGAUAACGCAACGGAAGAACCCGCUUCAGGAUCAAACGACCAUGACGCGAAAACGGAAUGAAGAAAAGUCGGCAAAUAAAUCUGCCGAAGAAAAGCGUAAGACGAAGAACAAAGACGAAGACGUCGGUAUAGGAUACAGCACGGUUUGAAGUUUGAGUAUUAUAAGUAUGAGUUGCGUGUUGUAUGUGUGUCUUGUCUGCGCUGCUGUAUUCUUAUUCUGCUGGACCUAAUGUUGCCAGCUAUUUUUAGUCAGUCACUACUAUAGUGCAUUUUGCCUGUCCAUGAAAUAUAUGCAAUGAAAUUUCGGCGAACAUCUUGCUGGAUCAGAUUUGUUGUUAUACACUCUAUUGGGUACUUCGUCCACAAAGGUGGAAUCUUUUAGCGAUUCUGUAUUGUCCUGAUUGCUUGGUGAGAACGCUAUGUUGGUACACAACUACUCGAGUAAUAUUAACACGCAGUAUAAUAUGCGCAUAAAUGUCAAUCAUAUAGUAAUCUAUUUAAUAUACUGUAAAGUAAACUUCCCCACGUGACUAACUUUAUAUUACGUCAUGUAGCGUGAUUGGGACGAUGGCCACGUCACAAUUUCGCUACGACGUGGAUACGAUGGGGCAGAGCAUUGUCCCAACCCUGCGUUCGGUGCGGUUGCGUCAGUUUUGAUUGAGUUACUUAACGGUCAGGUUGUUGCGUGGACGUCGCCGCCAGUGAUGCUACGCUAGAUAUUUGGUCACUGUCAUUGCGGUUCGUAACAAUCUGGCGCAGUUUCGUAACGGUGUGCGUAACGUCCGGAUGUUAUUAUAUUUUGUGAAGAUACGACGAGAGUAUCGCGGUACCAACAUGGCGACUUACCUUUUGAUUGGGACAUGCGGAGCUGUUGUUGGCUUCGACUCAUCCUUGCUUUCGGACAUUCAAUAUGGUGUACACUGCAGAUAAAAUUAUCCUUCA